CCAGCAAGAGUUUCCUCAAAGCAUCUGUUUUUAUCAUGGUGAGCGGUAAAUAUAUGAACUUUGUGACCUCGGGAUGCAAGUUCAACUGCUGCAUCAACAACCAACCUCUCAGCCCCACCUACAAAGAACAAGGAAACAAGUAUAACAUAAAUUACUAAUCACAUGAAACCAUAAUAUUUUGCAAAAGAAGCUCAAACAGAUAAGUCUCUCUACUCCAUUUUAUUAUCCAGAAAUUUCGAAAUGAAGCAUAAUGACUUGAAAUUUUAAUUGGCAAACGCAGCAAUUCAUCAAGAAAGUAUAAAAAGAAGAAGGACAAUGGCUUGAAAUGAAAAAGUGAGAAUAUAACCGAUCCCAAGGUCAGGAUGAAGAAUGGCUAUAUUCAACUUGGAGCUUUGUCUGGACUCCAUUGUUGCCUGCUCAUCAGUUAUGGGUGUUUUUCAGUCUUCAGUAAACAUCACAAUUUCAAAAAAUACAGGAAGUUCCUGUCAGAUUUACAGUAAAUAUCUUUACCUCAAACACUAGCCAAUUCGAUUUGGAGUAGUAUCCAAUUCCGAAUUUCAGCGAUCUUCAGCAACCUGCUUCCGUUUCAACUAAAUCCAGAUUUCUUCGAUCUCGAUCCGACUUUCGAUCCUUGUUUAAGCAAAACAAAUUGGCAAAAGGCGGCUUCUUGGGGGACUUGAGGUUUUUUUUUUCUACAGAGGGAUACAAUGGAGUGGAGGAAGAUCUCAAAUGGCAAAUUUUAACGGAAUUGGACGGAUUUACUAUUUUUAAUUUUUCUCAAUACGAUUAGUACUAGAAUGAAACGUUUUAUGACUUUUUGGACUGAUAUGAGAAACCAGUUAGUAACAGCUCUCACUGACACUGAGAGCGAAGAAGAACUGAUUUGAUUUCAAUCGGAGGAAGAAGAAUCCAUGAAAGACUGAAAAGCUUGAUCGCUCAAAUGCUCUAGGCAAGAAGUAUACAACCGUCAACUAUCAAAGCUCUGUGAAAGAUGACAGGAGCCUGCCGGCGAACAGCUCGAAGCAGCAAAGGAAAGUCCUCAUUGGACGACGGCAACGACGACGGCGAUGUUUCUCGUCGUAGCUCGAGGACGAGCUCGAAAUCACGCAAGGAUAAUAAGAGACGAGACGGAAGCAGCAGCAGCAGCUUGGUUCGUAUGCUUAACCUUGACUUGAAAGUCAUGAUGGCCGUUUGCGGAGCAGCUUCUUUGAUCAUCUUCUUCCUGAUUUACAAUCUGAUGAUAAUCCCCGUCGAAGUUUCUCGGAGGCCUAACGUUGUUACUCCAUUUCCUUCUCCAAAGCUCAUGGACCUUCCUCAGGUGACUGAAAUUAAGCUCCCACUGGACAUCGUCCUAAUAUACUGGAACAUUUUGGAAUUCAGUUGUGGUUUAAUUUUCUCUGUGAUGAUGCUUUCACUUUUCAGUUUCAAGGAGAGCAUAAGGAGAGCUUGUAUUGGGGAACUUAUCGUCCUCAAGUUUAUUUUGGUGUUCGUGCUAGGUAAGGUGCUCUUUCGUUUUGCUGGCUAAUUCUGGUUAUGUGGAAAUUUGAAGCAAUUUGUGUGAACUGAAUUGGUGAUGCGUUCAUAUGCUAGAAUUUUGGAAAGAUUAUGAUAAACGGUAAUGAACAUGUGAUAUAGGAUCGAACAGGAUUCAUUUCUGCUAUGAGGUUUAAAAUGGCCAAAUGGACGAAUGUGGUAUCGUAUACAUUGCUAAUGAAGUACUGACAUGCAGGACGCCAAAAUCAUUGGUUGCUGGUUUGAUGUGGUUAGGUGUAAAGGAUGGAAGAUAUGAAAUACGCCAUGUGUGCCAAAACUCGGACGAUUUGAGCAAGUACGGGUGGAUUGCGCAUAAUGGUCGUGAUUUCGGGAAGCAGGAGCUAGUUGAGCAGGAGCUGAAGUUGGAGACCAGUUUCUUGAAGUCCAGGAGUCAAGGCAGUGGUUAUGGUGGAGAUUGGGCUGUCCAAAUCGAUAUGCAACAUGAAAAGUAAAUGACUUUGCUUAUAAGAAAGUGAUGGAUUUCACUCGUUCAAUUUCUUUUUUAUGGAAUAGUUGGCGAGAAAGAAGAGAAGAACUGGAGAGAUGGGGUUGGCGCCAUACGUCAGCUAAAACUCACUUUGUUAACUUGCAGAUCUGGAUCAAGUAAUGAAUUACUGACAACGGGUCACUUAUUUUUCUAUUUGGCGGAUGAGAGUGGCAAUGCUCUAAGUCUGAGCAAGAAUGCCAACAAUAAUCACGAGACUUCUCUCCUGGCAUCAGGUUCACGAGCAGACGUUGGAGAGUGGCAGGUUCAUUUGAAUUCAAAGGUAAGGUAACAAGGCAAGGCGGGCUCAUGGUCCCAUUUGUGUGAUAAGAUAGAUGAUUCUCAAUUAAGCCGUCACUUCUUCAUAGCUUGGCUAAGAUAGAAUCUAUGUGUGGACAAGCUUCUCAUCUGAAUAGCACAGUUCUCUUCAUCUUGGAUUACUCAUAUCGGUUUGGUGUCUGCUUCUUGUUUACAGGACAUGUUGGAGGUUCACCAUUCUGGUUUCAGGACUCCUCACAUUCAUAAUCUAUCUGAUUUUGUUCUGCAAGAUCUUGGCAUGCAGGUAUGUUGAUUUCAAUAUUUAUUCCUGGCUUCAAAUGGUUAAGUGUCGAUGAAUCACCACAAUAUUUGCAUCAUUGAUUUGUUUCCAGUUAAGGGAUUUUGGUCGUCUACAGUUGCCCGACUCAUCUGAAAAUUCUGCAAACAUUCUAGUUUUCCAGGUAUAUGGACAAGCCCUUGCAGACCUUAGAUAUGGGAACUCUGUCUGUGCUUUAUGUUGUAGAAAGUUAAGGCUCUAAGUAUCUCUAGCCCUCUGUAGGUAUCUGCAAGGAUUCCAUUUAGGACAGAUAUUGUCUUUGUAUCUAGAACUGGAAAGAAAGAUUCAAGACCAGAACAACGUGUGAGCAGCCUAACAGGUCUUUUCCUUAUCCAGAUAUGCAAACAAUCAACAUUUCUACAUCAUUGAUUAACUCCUUACUGAUAACGUCACCUGUAAGCAUUUACCUAGGAUAUUGGCGUUAGUAUCUUUCAGGUGCUUCACUGAGCAGUCAGCUAAAGCAGAAGCAAACAGAAUUUGACUCGAAGUUUGAGCAGCUCUUCAAUGGAGCCAACAAAGUAUCGUUCUUUCAUCUCCACCCUUUGAGAUCUAUCCAUAUUAUUUAGCUGAAUAGAGAAAUACACCAUACAAAUUGUCGUUCUCGAUAUGAGGCUUUUAGCAACAAUAUAGAUAUGAAUUAAAACACCAAUGUCUGAUGGUGUAAUCCUGUUUAUUCAGCUGGAAACUGAGUCCACUGUUGUUGGUAAGGCUGCUAUUGCCAAUAUGCUGGGAGGCAUUGGUUACUUCUAUGGACAAUCAAAGAUCGCUUAUCCUAAUGUAAGUCAUUCACAAUUUAAUGUCUUUAACCUUAACUGGCUUUUAGUCUUGAUAUGAUCACGGAACUCCCAGUUUUGGAUGAUGUCUCGAUCUAUAUAAAACGCACUCUUCCUCGUUGAUAGCAGAAGAGAAGAGCUUAAUUGCUCGUAUUGGUAAUACUACUACCAGUCUUAAAAAUCAAGUUCUUCCACAUUCAAAUAUUCACCAGUAUCACUGCUAAUAUAAAAGUGGUGGCCUUGAUAUAUGUCUAUCUGAUAAAGUCAUGAGUUGACCGGUUUUUACUUGCAGCGCGACACGUUUAUUUCAUAUUGGCCGGCUGAGCUGUAUACUGCUGUGCCAAGUCGACCUUUCUUUCCAAGAGGUUUUCUAUGGGAUGAAGGUUUUUAUCAACUACUGAUCUGGUAAGCUAUCUUUACUUUCCACCUUCUAUUUCUCAUCAUGUAAGUUUUCAGUAUAUAAUUGCCGACAUUCGCAUAUGAGCAGGCGCUGGGACCUCCGUAUAUCUUUAGAUAUCGUUGGCCACUGGUUAGACCUGAUCAAUAUCGAUGGUUGGAUUCCUCGUGAGCAAAUACUCGGUUCUGAAGCUCGUAGGUAUGUUAGCAAGAAACUACUUUCUUCAUUGUCUAAAUUCUCCUUUUUGCUAUUUAUGUAACCUGUGAGGUUGCCUCUGCUAUUACCGCAGCAAGGUUCCAGAGGAGUUUAUUCCUCAGUACCCAAGCAACGGAAAUCCUCCAACUCUCUUUUUGGUUAUCAACGGUGAGGUUAUUUUCUAACUUCCAACAUCGUUUGAAGAAUCAUUACAAUAAAUGAUCUGUCGUAAAAGCUUGAACUGAACACUGACGUUCAAUUUCGGUCUUCAUUUCCUAGAUCUGCUUGUUGGAAUAGAGAAAAACUUGUUCACGGAUGUUGAACGCAGAGAUAUUACUUUCUUUCUGGAGCGGGCUUUUGUUCGUCUUGAAGCUUGGUACCAGUGGUUUGCUACUACACAAUCAGGUAAGCUAAACCAAACCCUAAUUUUAUGGCUUCACUUUUAUUUGACCCGGCUUAUCAAGACCGAGAAACCUAUCUCAUGUCUAAACUCGAGCCUUUGAACACACAACCUGACGUGAUCCUCGACGUCUCAGCAUCAACUGACAAAAGGGACUGUGUUUCCUGUUUUUAUCUAUUUAUAGCAUACUGAGGUUUCCUGUGUACUUAUCUUGAAUUGCAGGGAAGCAGAUGAGCAGCUACUUUUGGCAUGGUAGAGAUAAUAGGACAACUCGUGAAUUGAAUCCGAAGGUUCUAUCCCACUGAGCUUGUAAUCUGUUCAAUGUGAGGACACUGCAUUUUGGCUGACAAUUGUAUCUGCGAUCUCAGACUCUAUCAUCAGGAUUGGAUGACUAUCCUCGUGCUUCGCAUCCGAAUGAUGACGAACGUCAUGUUGAUCUUCGGUGUUGGAUGCUUCUCGCUGCUAGAUGCAUGCAAUCCAUCGCAAAGUUCUUUGAGAAUGGAAACAGCCCUGGAAAGGUACAUUGCUAACUCGACAAGUGGAUAUGUUAUAACUAAUACUCCUUAAAGCUUAGCCAUUGAAAUAUCUGAAUUUUAUAUAGGAAUAUGCUUCAACAGUGGAACUGCUUUCGGAUCUCGAGUUGCUGAAUGAGGUAGGUCAACCAAUCUUGCAUCAAUCCUAUGUAGCUUCAGCAUUAAUCUUUACAUCUGUUUGUUUCAAGUGGAGUAACUUUAUGAAAAUGUUACCAGAUACACCUUGACCCAACCAGUGGAGCUUAUUUUGAUUUUGGAAAUCAUACAGAAAAGGUGUGCGCUUUACUUCUCUAGCUUCUUUCAGUUGUGGAAGGGUGGUUGGAAAUGCUUACACUUUUCUCGAACUUGCUAGGUUCGUUUGAGUUGGAAAGUGAUCAGAGACGGAAACAACCACGCCAGGCGAGAGCUUGUCCGAGAGGUUUUAGAAACUCCGAAUUGAGGCUGGUUUCUCAUGUUGGCUUUGGUAGCUUAUUCCCAUUCAUGGGGAAGAUCAUCCCACCUGUAAGUCCCCCCUAUAAAUUAAUUUUGAUAGCUUAUUUUCUCAGUUUCGCUAGCUUUCAUUAACUAACUUGAUGGUAGUAAACUUCAUCCAGGAUUCAUGGAUUCUCGAGAAACAGCUCGAUAUGAUUUCUAAUCGCAGCGUUCUGUGGUCAAACUAUGGACUCCAUUCUCUUGCCAGAACAAGGUUCAGUUAAUGACUUUCGUCUCCGAUCAUUACAUGAUUUCGAUGGACCCUGAAUGACCUAUUUGUUCGAUGUUCACAGCUCAAUAUAUAUGAAACGCAACACAGAGCACGACGCACCUUACUGGAGAGGCCCUAUCUGGAUGAACAUGAACUACAUGGCACUUUCUGCGCUACACCAUUAUUCCAAAGGUAACGAAAAGGUUUACUCUACUGACGCAAAAAGCUGGUUCGCUUUUAUCUCUUGCAGCUGAAUACCUGCAAUUCGUUUUCUGCAGCAGAUGGACCAUACAGAGAAAGAGCUGGCCAAAUAUACAGAGAUCUGAGAAGUAAUUUGAUAAGGUAGGUAAAAAUCUAUGGUUUGAACCGGAAAUCCUAUUGGUGAUCGAAACCGUUUUCGAAAUGAUGUCUGUUACAUUCGUUGCAGAAAUGUGGUUCACAAUUAUCACCAAACGGGGUAUCUCUGGGAACAAUAUGACCAGAUGAAUGGCAAAGGACAAGGAACUCGUCUCUUUACCGGUUGGACCGCACUCGUGCUACUAAUCAUGGGUGAAGCUUAUACAUGAAAGACAACAAUGAUCUUGCGAGCGAUUUCGACUCGGAUUAGUCUUAAGUUAUAGAGUACAAUAGCAGUAGGCUUUUUUCAUGUAUUAUCAGCCUCAUAACUUAAUAAUUUAGAGUUCAAAUUGUUACAAAAAUAUUGGAUACCAAAGAUUAAUUCUCGAAGAAAUCAAAGAAAACUUGUGAUACAUAAAUCUUUCGAAGCAUGUCGAAAGGAGCCUCUAGUAACAUCACCUGCGAAACAAACUAUUUGCGACUAGAGUCCUCUGUUUCAGCAUAAAUCGUCGCUCAUUACAGUGUCCUCAGCCAUCAUGAUCUCCAUGUCCCUGAUGUCUCGCUUUAGCACACUUCCAAGCCUUGCAAUAGCCUCUGUCUGCUGUUGUAAGACCUGCAUACGUACGAAUAGGCCAUCAUCCCAACAAUCAAUCGAAAGGGUUAUACUGAGAUCAUGGAGUCCUAGUGAGUCGAUAUGGUUUUCGGAGUUUGGUCCGACAUUUUACCUCUUGCAUGUCCACUAGACUCCGUUCAUCAAUCUUGGUUGAUCCUGGCAGAUACAUCAAAGCUCCUCCAUUGAACCCAUUUUCUUGGGUACGAGAGAUCGUUAGAAGGCUCUGCACCCUCCUGCCCAGUUCUGCUCCAGGACCUUUCAGCUGAAAUUACAGGUCAUUAAUGGCACUUCUCAGAUUCGAAGAAGGAAAAGUAUCAUGGACUCUAACCAAUACCUGUCUAACUACAGAAGCUAGCUUCUCAGCUAAUUCGACUUCUCCUUUAGUAAGUGGCAAUCGGCAACCCUUACUCUCCAACGCUUCUAGUAUCCGCAUUGUCUGUAAAUUCACAAACAAAUGUCAGAAUCGGUUAACUAUAAUUGACGAUUUAAGUGUAAGACUUUAAUUGAUCAUAAUACGAUACGAAUAAGUAUGCACAUCAAUCCGAUCCGAAGAGGCCAUGUCUAGCAGCUAUUCAUAGAGAGGUCAGUUAUAUGCCCUACCCUUAAUAGGCGUCUCUGGAGACUUUGUUCUUUUUGUCUCAGCCUAUCGAUCCAUGGAAGUGUCUCAGCUUGAAUAUGCCGUUGAAGCUGUCAGUAACAAACUCGUUUAGCGAAAUAAGUUCUUCCAAUAGAAUGGAAUGAGUCAUCAGAUGCAAAGACAUGGAUGAUAGAGAAGAUACAGUCAUCCAGGUAAAAUGACCUCCUGGCUUGUUCUAGCCAUAAUAAGUUUGAGAACAUAAAGUAGUACCAUUUUCACAUUGCUUUGGGUCGUCUGCAAUCUCUCGGCAUCUGAAGCAAUGACAUCAUCUUGAAGCUGUGUAAAUAUGGCAGCACAGAGUAAAAAAGUAAGCAAAUGAGAGAAACUACAUCAGAUCAGCAGAUCUUUACAAUCUAGAUUCUCGAACGAGUUCCAAUUGCAUUCUAGUUGAUGAAGGAUGGUAUACAUAGCAUAUUGGGAAUCACCCUUGAAGCAUCUUAGAAUCGGAUAAAUCAUUUAUAUAAGCCGUCGAUAUUAUAUGCAUCUAAAAAAAUGCUCACCUUGAGGCGGUCUGAAAGAUGUUUGAAACCUUGAACAAGUUGCGGCCAGAGGCGCUCUCGGUCUCUACUCUCCAUGCCUUCUAGCUUCCCCAUGGCCUCUGCCCACAUAAUCUAACAACGCAAACAAAUUCCCAGAUUAGCAAAUGCACACAGCUGAUGACUACAAGACGUUCUACGCAAGCAAUAGUUGCAGGAAGUAAUAACAAGUGAAACUCACAUCUGAUACAUCAGCGGGCUUGAUUCUUAUCUGUGGAUCCGUAAUACUGAACAGCAAAUGCUGAAAGAAGAGGUGACAGUAAUCACAUUGCAGUCAUUACACCAUCAAAUUAUCAUAUUCAAAAGUCAACACAAGGGCAAGUCGCAAAACCUUGAAAGCAUAUUUAGGGUUCCCAGCAUCCUCCUUGUAGUUGUAAGCGUCAACUAUCGUCUAUAAUUCGAUUCCCAUACGUCAGAAGGAAAAACUCACGAAACUAAGCAAACAAAAAUCCAUAGGAAAAAUGUUCAACCUGGAUAUCGCGAUCGGAGAGGGAGUAAGGGAGCGGGGCCACUGGGGCCAUCUGAGUAGUCAAUUGAGCAUUAGGAAAUGGCGUAGGCUGCUGCUGCUGCUGAGCGGAGAACUGAUUCUGAAAUCCGAAACCGCCGCCCGUCUGCUGGAACGGCGAAGCCUGUUGCUGCUGCUGCUGUUGAGGUUGUUGCGCAGAGAAUGGUGUGGAGAAGAGAGAAGAGCCGAAUCCCGUACCAAACGCGGAAGUGGACGGAGUGCCGAACGCCGGAGUUGAAGACGGAGCUCCGAACAACGAAUUCGACCCCGGAGUUCCGAAUCCCUGUGUUCCGAACGCCGGAGUAGAAGACGGAGUGCCGAAUGCUGGAGUGGAAGACGGAGUUCCGAAGGCCGGUGUGGAAGACGGAGUUCCGAAGGCCGGUGUUGAGGACGGAGUUCCGAACAUGGUGAGAUCGGAGCUCCGGAAUCGGAUGUAAGAACUCUUUAGCUUUUCCUCUAAUUCGAAGGCGCCAUGAGCUGGAGAGGUAUUUCAACUUUCAAUUUUUAUGCAGCUCAAGUGUUCGACGAUUUGCCGCUCAGGUCAAGUGUGUUUUACCUGCAUGUCUCUGUGUUUACUGUUUACUUCGCUUGCACUCUGCCAUGGAGGGAAAGCCAUUAACGAGGCGCAAUAGAUUGGGCCUAAAGGCCCAACAUAGGUCCACUAUAACGGGCCCAUUUAUCUAAGUCUAUGAGAGUGAAAUCCCGGUAUCAGACGUGGUUUGCUACUUCAUGAAACUCGCUAGCUUCUUUAAUCUCUUUUCUAAUGUCUAAAUUAAGUUCGUCCUUCGUCGGGAUAGUCAACCUGUUCAUUUAGUGACACGCGGAGCUCUUUAUUACCCCAACCCAGCCGAAUGAUUUUCUAGACUUGUGUUAUUAUUUAUAAUUUUGUUAUCUCGAGUGUUUCCUUAGUGAUAUCUUAGAAAAAAAAAAGAGUCCAUUAACUCAUGUCGAUCCCUUAUUGGACCUUAUGUGUUCAUUUGAUAUGUUUCUUCAGUAUUCUUGACGAUUUUCAGACCAUUGAGCGACCAAUGUUCGAACCAACGCUGCGAAUCGGAGUGAAACAAGUUGACACACUUAGCUGCAGAAGAUCAUCUUAAUACACAAGCAAGUGAAAAUUCGCGUUCAUCUCUAAUAGCUCUCCGGCUAGAAGAACCAUGCUCUAAUGUAAACAACCAUAAACAACACACAUAAAAAGGGUACAAUACAAGGUUUGUAGCAACAUGCAGAAGAACUCGCUACUAUUCGGCCGAAACUUGAGCCCCGCAACUAGUGUCCACCGCCACCCCUCCACCGAGUCCAAUGCUACGAAAAUAUUAAGGACGAAAUCGUUUAAAGUACACACUUCUAUUAUUCGAAUUGUAACAUUAAAUAGCCCGAGUUGAACCGAUCCCUCCCACUCGUGGGUUGUCCAUCAUGCCUUGAUGGUCACGCUACAUAAGCACAACCCUAAUGGCUUUAUGUCAGAUGUCUGCCACUCCGACCCAGAAGGAGCCAUAGGGUCGUAGACCAAAGUCUUGUAGCUCGGUUCAUCUUUCACGGCCAGCAACAGAAGCUUUCCAUCGAGAAUCCCGAAUCGGAACCCUACGGUGGAGCUCCCGGUCAAAGGUAUGGACACCAUCUUCCACGAAUUGUCCACCGGGUCGAAUAUCGACACCUUACGCUGGUUCCUCCACUCCAUACAGAGCAGUUUCUUCUCCAGCACGGCAUGUGCUGUGACCAUGACACAGCCGUUCUUCAUCUGGCACCAGGCGCCCGUACAGCUUGAUGGUCACGCUACAUAAGCACAACCCUAAUGGCUUUAUGUCAGAUGUCUGCCACUCCGACCCAGAAGGAGCCAUAGGGUCGUAGACCAAAGUCUUGUAGCUCGGUUCAUCUUUCACGGCCAGCAACAGAAGCUUUCCAUCGAGAAUCCCGAAUCGGAACCCUACGGUGGAGCUCCCGGUCAAAGGUAUGGACACCAUCUUCCACGAAUUGUCCACCGGGUCGAAUAUCGACACCUUACGCUGGUUCCUCCACUCCAUACAGAGCAGUUUCUUCUCCAGCACGGCAUGUGCUGUGACCAUGACACAGCCGUUCUUCAUCUGGCACCAGGAGCCCGUUUCGGGGUCAUAGACAUCGACAAACUUUGAGUUCCCUAUCGUGAAGCUCGACCUUCCUCCCAUGACGUAGAGCUUGCCCUCGAAGUUACAGGCGAAGCAUCCCCACCUGGGGCGACGGAGCGGCUCUAUCAAGGUCCAUUUUCCGGUAUCCGGAUCGUACAUUUCUACGCUAGAGAGACAAUCGCCGUCGAUCCCAUAGCCACCGACGGCAUAUACCUUUCCGUUCACCUCGGAGCAUCCGAAGUCAUAGCGAGCAACGUUCAUGCUAGAUAACUUGCUCCAACUGCAGUGAAAAAAAGAUAAAAACUUGUGAUCCUAGCAAAGAAUUUAUAGAACAGACAGAAACAAGAGUAACGAACCUGUUAAGGCUCGAAUCAUAUUCAUAAACAUCAGCCGAAACAGAGUCAGUUCCAUCGGCAGUCGAAUAGCCAGCCAUGACAAGAAGCUUUCCAUUAAGAACAACUACGCCAAAUCCAGCCAUGAAAGGACCAGGCAUCUGGGGAAGAGCCCUAUGCCUAUUCCCCAUUGAACCCACCACCUCCCAGUGGCUUUCCUUUCCUUCAGAAUCCGCAGUCAACAGAUAAAGCCACUCC
rnacentral:lncRNA from 1 species